UACGUAGGGGGCAAGCGUUGUCCGGAAUCAUUGGGCGUAAAGAGCGUGUAGGCGGUCCGGUCAGUCGGUUGUGAAAGUCAAGGGCUCAACCCUUGAAUGCCGGCCGAUACUGCCGGGCUAGAGUCCGGAAGAGGUGAGUGGAAUUCCUGGUGUAGCGGUGAAAUGCGCAGAUAUCAGGAGGAACACCGAUGGCGAAGGCAGCUCACUGGGACGGUACUGACGCUGAGGCGCGAAAGCUAGGGGAGCAAACAGG
rnacentral:rRNA from 1 species